rnacentral:rRNA from 1 species
UACAGAGACUGCAAGCGUUAUUCGGAUUCACUGGGCGUAAAGCGUGCGCAGGCGGUUAUGCAAGACAGAUGUGAAAUCCCCGGGCUCAACCUGGGAACUGCAUUUGUGACUGCAUGGCUAGAGUGCGGCAGAGGGGGAUGGAAUUCCGCGUGUAGCAGUGAAAUGCGUAGAUAUGCGGAGGAACACCGAUGGCGAAGGCAAUCCCCUGGGCCUGCACUGACGCUCAUGCACGAAAGCGUGGGGAGCAAACAGG